rnacentral:rRNA from 1 species
UACGAAGGGUGCAAACGUUGCUCGGAAUUAUUGGGCGUAAAGCGCACGUAGGCGGCUUUGUAAGUCGGAUGUGAAAUCCCUCGGCUUAACCAAGGAAGUGCAUCCGAAACUACAGAGCUUGAGUACUUAAGAGGAUCGCGGAAUUCCCGGUGUAGAGGUGAAAUUCGUAGAUAUUCGGAGGAACACCAGUGGCGAAGGCGGCUCACUGGUCCAUUACUGACGCUGAGGUGCGAAAGCGUGGGGAGCAAACAGG